rnacentral:rRNA from 1 species
CCUACGGGAGGCAGCAGUGGGGAAUAUUGCACAAUGGGGGGAACCCUGAUGCAGCAACGCCGCGUGGGUGAAGAAGUACUUCGGUAUGUAAAGCUCUGUCAGCAGGGAAGAAAAUGACGGUACCUGACCAAGAAGCCCCGGCUAACUACGUGCAAGCAGCCGCGGUAAUACGUAGGGGGCAAGCGUUAUCCGGAUUUACUGGGUGUAAAGGGAGCGUAGACGGCAAGGCAAGUCUGGAGUGAAAGCCCGUGGCUCAACCACGGGACUGCAUUGGAAACUGUGUUGCUGGAGUGCAGGAGGGGUAAGCGGAAUUCCUAGUGUAGCGGUGAAAUGCGUAGAUAUUAGGAGGAACACCGGUGGCGAAGGCGGCUUACUGGACUGUAACUGACGUUGAGGCUCGAAGGCGUGGGGAGCAAACAGGAUUAGAUACCCCAGUAGUC